CGAGAAAGGGUAGCAAUACCUUGAGUAAAGUGGCGCACGGGUGAGUAACACGUGACUAAUCUACCCUCGAGUGGGGAAUAACUGAGAGAAAUCUUAGCUAAUACCGCAUAACACUUACGAGUCAAAGCAGCAAUGCGCUUGGGGAGGAGGUCGCGGCCGAUUAGCUAGUUGGCGGGGUAAUGGCCCACCAAGGCGAUGAUCGGUAUCCGGCCUGAGAGGGCGCACGGACACACUGGAACUGAAACACGGUCCAGACUCCUACGGGAGGCAGCAGUGGGGAAUUUUGCGCAAUGGGGGAAACCCUGACGCAGCAACGCCGCGUGGAGGAUGAAAUAUCUUGGUAUGUAAACUCCUUUCGAUGGGGAAGAUUAUGACGGUACCCAUAGAAGAAGCCCCGGCUAACUUCGUGCCAGCAGCCGCGGUAAUACGAGGGGGGCAAGCGUUGUUCGGAUUUAUUGGGCGUAAAGGGUGCGUAGGCGGUUUGGCAAGUCUUGUGUGAAAUCUUCGGGCUCAACCCGAAGUCUGCACAAGAAACUGCCGGGCUUGAGUAUGGGAGAGGUGAGUGGAAUUUCCGGUGUAGCGGUGAAAUGCGUAGAUAUCGGAAGGAACACCUGUGGCGAAAGCGGCUCACUGGACCAUAACUGACGCUGAUGCACGAAAGCU
rnacentral:rRNA from 1 species